rnacentral:rRNA from 1 species
GAUGAACGCUGGCGGCGUGCUUAACACAUGCAAGUCGAACGGAAAGGCCCAAGCUUGCUUGGGUACUCGAGUGGCGAACGGGCGAGUAACACGUGGGUGGUCUGCCCUGCACUUCGGGAUAAGCCUGGGAAACUGGGUCUAAUACCGGAUAGGACGAUGGUUUGGAUGCCAUUGUGGAAAGUUUUUUCGGUGUGGGAUGAGCUCGCGGCCUAUCAGCUUGUUGGUGGGGUAAUGGCCUACCAAGGCGUCGACGGGUAGCCGGCCUGAGAGGGUGUACGGCCACAUUGGGACUGAGAUACGGCCCAGACUCCUACGGGAGGCAGCAGUGGGGAAUAUUGCACAAUGGGCGCAAGCCUGAUGCAGCGACGCCGCGUGGGGGAUGACGGCCUUCGGGUUGUAAACUCCUUUCGCUAGGGACGAAGCGUUUUUGUGACGGUACCUGGAGAAGAAGCACCGGCUAACUACGUG